CUAAAAGUCCUUUUGGAAAAAAUAAGUCAGAAAAACCUGACUUCUAGCUUUUGCAAAGGAUUUUGCCUUCAAAAGGAAAGCCAAACACCCUCUGCGUCUUCACUUCAGGCUUCAUCAUCUUCUUCGAACCGAUCACAAACACACGCUCUCUCUACUCUGCGUCUUCACUUCAGGCUUCAUCAUCUUCUUCGAACCGAACCGGGUUUCUAGCCCUACCCGUUGAACACCAUGGCCACCAUAGCUUCUUCCCUCUUUUCUCUGCCUUCCCUGCGUGCAACAAAUAAAACUCACAGAACAACAACUCUUCUUCCAUGCCCUAAUUUCCUUCAACCCAACUUGACCCUCGAAUUCUCCAGAUUGGGGAUUUCUUACACAAAUAGAAAGGGGUCAAAACAGGUUGUGAUUUCUUGCUUGGUUGAAGAUUAUUCGACAGCUCAAGGAUCAGAGUCAAACCCUGGAGCAACUAUUGACCUCAAACUCCCAGGAAGAAACUUGUUAGUGCAGUUUACCUGCAAUGCUUGCGGUGUAAGAUCACAAAAGCUCAUAAACAGACUAGCUUAUGAAAAAGGGAUGGUUUUUGUUCAGUGUACAGGAUGUGAACAGUAUCACAAACUUGUUGACAAUCUAAAUCUUGUGGUGGAGUACGACUUUCGGGAGGAAAUCAAUGCGAGUCCGGAUGCAGAUCAAGUUUGAUUCAUCGUUCUAAUCUGUUUUGUUAAUUUGUUCUUUAUCUGACAGUAAAUAUACAUUUAUAAGCCUUCUUUAAUCUAUAAGUUAUAACGUUUGUUCUCCAUCGAGUAUUUUAUAUAUCUUUAAAGAGUGUCAAUAGUGGUGAUGACCAUGAUAUUAAUCAGGUUUUGGGUUUUUUCUAACCCGAUCAAUAAACGGGUUGUGUUAGGGUUGAUCUGUUUAAUUAAACAUGUUGACCUAUCAACAUGUUUAAAGUUAAAAUAAUCUAUACUAUAUAUAUAAUGCAUAUUGCAAGGGCAAGAAUGGUCAUUUGCCACCUUUUCAACAAGUACAACACUUGAAGCUUUAUGUACAAUACUUCAAAGCAUAAAUUUAAAGCUAAAACCUUGAAAUCUCUUGCUGAUCAUUUGGGCUCCAACAUUUUGUUCUUUUGAAUUUUGAAAUUCGUUAAUAUGGCUCCAACCUUUUGUUCUUUUAAAUUUUGAAAUUCACAUCCUGCUCUCAUUUCUCUCUCUCUCUCUCUCUGCUCUGACUUCUCUUUCAUCUUGUUCAAGAAAAAACCCUAAAAUCACAAAAUAGUGUCAUAGUAGAAUGGAAAUUGGAUGCUAGAUCUGGAACAAAUAUGGGUUUGCAAAGAGAGAGCGAGCAAAUGUUAGAAAGAGGGAGAAAAUCGGUGGGUUCUGGCCGCUGGUGGAUGGCAUAUAGAGUGGCGGAAAUUGGAUGGCUUCUUUUGUAGUUGUUUAGAUCUGACGAGAAAAUAAUCGUUGUUGUUCCACAAAGGGUGUUUUUGCUGCGACAUAUGAGACGAGUACUGGGAUCCUCAAUCGAUAACAUCAUCAACAAUUCCUGCAUUUCUCUUCUGUCGGAGAUGCUGAAGGGUUUAUUGGUUUCAAAGUUUUUGCUUUCUGUUGCAGAUGUGUUGGAUCCAAUUAUUGCUCUGGUGUUCUCAUGGCAAAAGAUGGAAUUGAAUUGUGGCCUACUUUACUUGAUGAAGUUCAAGCACGAUUUGACACUGAUGUUGGCCAGGGAACGUUUUCCAUGGCUUCAUGGCGUGGAACACAAGUUGCUGUUAAAAAGCUUGGGGAUGAACUAUUUACCGAUGAGGACAAAGUGGAUGAACUUGAAUUACUUAAAAAGAUACGGCACCCGAAUGUGGUUCAGUUUCUCGGGGCUGUAACUCAAAGUAGUCCAAUGAUGAUUGUGAUAGAAUAUUUUACCAAAGGGUGAUCUUAAGGCAUAUUUGAAAAGAAAAGGAGCACUAAAGCCGUUAAUUGCGUUAAAAUUUGCAAUGGAUAUUGCCAGUGAACAGAAAUAUUUUGCUGGACGACUCUGGGCAUCUGAAAGUUGCAGACUUUGGAGUCAGCGAGUUACUGAAAGGAACAAAUGCAGCCAAACAUAAAAUGCUUAUGAACUAUCAAGAUACUACCUCAUUGACAGCAAGGCGAUAUGUUGCUUCAGAGGUGUUCAAAAAUGAAGACUACGACACCAAAGUGGAUGUUUUCUCGUUUGCUUUAAUUUUGCAAGAGCAGGUGGAUCAAGAUGGUAUUCGAAAGUGCAUGAGCGUGGGAACUUAACACAACUGGGCAAUGUAACUUCAUUUUGCUUCUAUAAGCUUCCAAUGAAAGACACUUGCAUUUUUCAGAUGCAAUGGAUUCUAAACCAGCACUAUGUGGUUUGGUAGACGAGCAACCCAAAGUGGUGGUCUUUAAUUCGAUACUGCGGAACUGGACAUGGUGACGUUAAUGGUCACUUUCAUCAAAACUCGCUGUGUUUGUGUUUGGUCGAUCUGCACACUUUUUUAUAGUUACAAUACCAAUCUAAACCCAGUGUUUUAAAAACCGGUAAAUACCGGCCGGUUAUACCAGUAUUACCGUUUCCAGGUGUAAAUCCGGUACGAAACACCGCGGUAAAUAAGUGAAACGGCAUAAGGUUUGUACCGGCGGUAAAAUCCGGUAUAUCGGUUUGAAACGUAAUACUGGUACCGGCCCAAGGUUAUUCUAGUUUGGGUUGUUACUUAUUUUUAUUAUAUAUGUUAUUUAUCUUGCGUAAUUUUAUAUAUUGUAAUUAUUCGUAACUAAAACUUCUUAUUGAAUAUUGUAUGAAACGAAAAUAGUUAUCCUCUAGUUGAUGAGGAUGGUGAUAACAGUGAAUUUCAUCUUUUAUGCGAUAA